AACUGUGUGCGGUGGAUCACUCGGCUCGUGCGUCGAUGAAGAGUGCAGCCAACUGUGUGAAUUAGUGCGAAUCGCAGACUGCUUUGAGCAUCGACACUUCGAACGCAUCUAGA
rnacentral:rRNA from 1 species